rnacentral:lncRNA from 1 species
GUCUCUGUUCAAUUUUAUACAAAUUUAAGUGUCUAUUUGUGCACACCCAAAGUUAAAUGUCAUAAUUGUCAGUUGACGUCAAGUUAAGGGUCAUGCUUAUGUAUUACUAUGUCAUAUCAUUUUAUUCAUUACUUUACCAAUAUAAAAUAUUCCUCCAACUUAACAUGUCUCUCAACCGCGUUGAUCUUACCAUUCAUGUCGAAUAAAAUCAUCUUUUUUUAAUUUUACAACGAUUUCCUAUUGAAAAAAAAAUCAAAAUUUCCACCGUUUUUCAGCUUCUUCAGCCUUUAACACCUUUCACACCUUUCGUCACCUUUUUCCUAUAAAACUUCAUUGUCACAAAAUAAAGGAGCAAAUAGUAUCCAAUGAUGAAGGACAGAACAAUCUAAACCAUGUAAGAAGGAUACAAACAGGUAAGACUAGAAUUUUAUUUAGUGCAAGGUGGUGGGUAAUCCUAACAACUAGCAAGCGAGAUAUACAACAAAUUAAAUACUCAGAUGGUUAGUCCGAGCAAGGUUAUGAACAAAGGGAAAGGGUGGUUGUAGGUAAUAAAUUUAAUGCACUAUCUAGGGUGGAAAUGAUUGGAAAAGAUCGGAGGGGAGACAGAUAAAACACAAGGCUAAUAAUAAUAAUGAAGAAGCAGAAAAACAACAGUAUAAAGACAUCUAAGUAGGAAAAGCAUGUAAAUAAUGAAUGCAUAAAUAUAACAUAUGACAAAGCAAAUAAAGUUGAUAAAAGGAAGGCGCAAUAUCAGGUCAUUAGCAAGAAAGUUCAUCAUGGUGAUGUUGUACAGGAGGACGAGCUCACUAGUUUGCCUCCAAACGAUAAAGCAUCCACACGAUAUAACAAUCAGGUUAGUCAAACAGAAAAGCAUCAAGUUACAGCAGAAAUAAAAAAUACCAUGCAUGAUAAGGAGAAGAAAAGGACUACAUCAUCUUUACUUUUUUUUAUGGAAUGACAGAGUAGAACAAAAAAUAACAGCAAAUGAGUUAAAGGAAGGAGUGAUACUCAAAUUAUUGCAAUGAAUGAUGAUGGACAACUACAAAUACAAUAGGAGAUUAUAGAGAAAGAUUCAGAGGUUGAUUUUGAAGGAAAUCAGGGCAAUAACUCUAAUUGAAAAGGAAUAACCCUAGCUACUGACAAAAGAUUAAUGCAUUUUAAUAA